UCUGUGUUUUCCAGGUUCUAUAGAGAAGGCAAAGAUUUUGAAGGCACAGGAGACUAUCAUAGAUAUUCACAAUGGCAUCUCCCUAAAGGAUUUGAAAGCUUUGCAUCAACCAAAGGAAAAGCACCAGUGAGAGUCAAGAUACAGUUCCAGACAGGUGCUACUUCUAUUCUAAAGGUGUCAAGAUCUGGUGCUUAUGAUGUGUUCAGAUCAGUGCCGGAAACCAUGAAGACAGAGAGACUGGAAGGAAGAACACAACAGUUCACUGGAACAGCGAGAUGCAAAAAUCCCGAGCCUUCAAAGCCAGCUCCUGCAGAAGAGAGAGGGCCUGGCAGCUGAGCUGGAUGCUUCAGGAGCAGAGGAUCUAUCAACUGCAGAUCAAGCAUAGGGAGACGCAGGCAAACCUGGAACAGUAACCCAGCCAGCUCCAAUUGCUCCGACAGUACUUGGUGGCCAGACAGUCGGCAGGCAGCAG
rnacentral:lncRNA from 1 species